rnacentral:lncRNA from 1 species
CUCAGUCCAGCUCAUCUCACAGAAUGGGAAAAUCUGCUGUGCACAUCUUCUGAUUUCAUGCCAAUGAGAAGCUUAAGUUUCCAGAUCUGAUUCAAAAAGCCAGUGGUGAAUUCUGAAAAAUGAUACUGGGGGUCCAGAAGGAAAUGUCAGGCGAAGAUUUUAUCUUCGUGUGAGGGCUCAAAUGAAGAAUCAGGAACCGGAACUUGAGGUUGUAAUGGAAACCGAAAAUUCAAGUCUUUUAUCUCCUGGGGAAGGCCGUACCCAGGGUAAUGCUUCUCAUUUAUUUAUGUGUUAAAUAACGUAUUUUAUAAAC